CACGUAGUUAGCCGGGGCUUCUUAGUCAGGUACUGUCAUUUUCUUCCCUGCUGAUAGAGCUUUACAUACCGAAAUACUUCUUCACUCACGCGGCGUUGCUGCAUCAGGGUUUCCCCCAUUGUGCAAUAUUCCCCACUGCUGCCUCCCGUAGGAGUUUGGGCCGUGUCUCAGUCCCAAUGUGGCCGAUCACCCUCUCAGGCCGGCUACUGAUCGUCGCCUUGGUGGGCCGUUACCUCACCAACCAGCUAAUCAGACGCGGGUCCAUCUUACACCGAUAAAAUCUUUUCCGUCCGGGCCAUGCGGCCCUAGCGGGUUAUGCGGUAUUAGCAGUCAUUUCUAACUGUUAUCCCCCUGUGUAAGGCAGGUUACCCACGCGUUACUCACCCGUCCGCCGCUCAGUCAAACCACCUUCCUUCCGAAGAAAUCCGGUGGAGUGCUUCGCUCGACUUGCAUGUGUUAAGCACGCCGCCAGCGUUCAUCCUGAGCCAGGAUCAAACUCUA
rnacentral:rRNA from 1 species